UACGUAGGUGGCGAGCGUUGUCCGGAUUUACUGGGCGUAAAGGGCGUGCAGGCGGUUUGUUAAGUGCAGGGUGAAAGCUCCCGGCUCAACUGGGAGAGGUCCUUGCAUACUGGCGAACUCGAGGGAGGCAGAGGAAAGUGGAAUUCCCGGUGUAGUGGUGAAAUGCGUAGAUAUCUGGAGGAACACCGGUGGCGAAGGCGGCAUCCUGGACCGGUAUUGACGCUGAGGCGCGAAAGCUAGGGGAGCAAACGGG
rnacentral:rRNA from 1 species